UACAGACAACAGUCUUCUGGUGAAACACAGCGAGCAGUCAAGGAGCACUUGGCUGCCACUGUCCAGGGAGCAUUCUGGGACCUCCUGAGGGACCAAGAGGGCUGUCUGUGGCAUUUGACAUGGGAAACUUGCAGACUCUCUAGGAUGCCCUAUUCUAAUAACUAGCCAACAGUCUCAAAGGAAGAAGGGGAAAAAAAAAAAAAAAA